GACGAACGCUGGCGGCGUGCUUAACACAUGCAAGUCGAACGAGGCCCCUCCUUCGGGAGGGUGUCCUAGUGGCGAACGGGUGAGUAACACGUGGGCAACCUGCCCCCGGCUCUGGGAUAACCCCAAGAAAUUGGGGCUAAUACCGGAUAUGACCGCUGACCGCAUGGUCUGGUGGUGGAAAGUUUUUGCGCUGGGGAUGGGCCCGCGGCCUAUCAGCUUGUUGGUGGGGUAGUGGCCUACCAAGGCGCCGACGGGUAGCCGGCCUGAGGGGGUGACCGGCCACACUGGCACUGAGACACGGCCCAGAGUCCUACGGGAGGCAGCAGUGGGGAAUUUUGGACAAUGGGCGCAAGCCUGAUCCAGCCAUGCCGCGUGCGGGAAGAAGGCCUUCGGGUUGUAAACCGCUUUUGGCAGGAACGAAACGGCGACUCUUAAUACGGGUCGUUAAUGACGGUACCUGCAGAAUAAGCACCGGCUAACUAC
rnacentral:rRNA from 1 species